rnacentral:rRNA from 1 species
CAGUCGCCGCGGUAAUACGAGGGGAGCUAGCGUUAUUCGGAAUUACUGGGCGUAAAGCGCACGUAGGCGGCUUUGUAAGUUAGAGGUGAAAGCCCAGAGCUCAACUCUGGAAUUGCCUUUAAGACUGCAUCGCUUGAAUCCAGGAGAGGUGAGUGGAAUUCCGAGUGUAGAGGUGAAAUUCGUAGAUAUUCGGAAGAACACCAGUGGCGAAGGCGGCUCACUGGACUGGUAUUGACGCUGAGGUGCGAAAGCGUGGGGAGCAAACAGGAUUAGAUACCCCCGUAGUCCCUGUCUCUUAUAC